CCUACGGGAGGCAGCAGUGGGGGAUAUUGCACAAUGGGGGAAACCCUGAUGCAGCGACGCCGCGUGAGUGAAGAAGUAUUUCGGUAUGUAAAGCUCUAUCAGCAGGGAAGAAAAUGACAGUACCUGACCAAGAAGCCCCGGCUAACUACGUGCCAGCAGCCGCGGUAAUACGUAGGGGGCAAGCUUUAUCCGGCUUGACUGGGUGUAAAGGGAGCGUAGACGGUUAUGUAAGUCUGGAGUGAAAGCCCGGGGGCCAACCCCGGGACUGCUGUGGAAAUUGUGUAACUGGAGUUAAGGAGGGGCAGGCGGAAUUCCGGGUGUAGCGGUGAAAUGCGUAGAGAUCAGGAGGAACACCGGCGGCGAAGGCGGCCUGCUGGACUGAAACUGACGUUGAGGCUCGAAAGCGUGGGGAGCAAACAGGAGUAGAUACCCCAGUAGUC
rnacentral:rRNA from 1 species